rnacentral:rRNA from 1 species
CCUACGGGAGGCAGCAGUGGGGAAUAUUGCACAAUGGGGGAAACCCUGAUGCAGCGACGCAGCGUGCGUGAAGAAGUAUUUCGGUAUGUAAAGCUCUAUCAGCAGGGAAGAAAAUGACGGUACGUGAUUAAGAAGCCCCGGCUAACUACGUGCCAGCAGCCGCGGUAAUACGUAGGGGGCAAGCGUUAUCCGGAUUUACUGGGUGUAAAGGGAGCGUAGACGGCAGGACAAGUCUGGAGUGAAAUGCCGGGGCUUAACCCCGGAACUGCUUUGGAAACUGUGCAGGUAGAGUGAAGGAGAGGUAAGUGGAAUGCCUAGUGUAGCGGUGAAAUGCGUAGAUAUUAGGAGGAACACCAGUGGCGAAGGCGGCUUACUGGACUGUAACUGACGUUGAGGCUCGAAAGCGUGGGGAGCAAACAGGAUUAGAUACCCCAGUAGUC